AGAAACAGGAAGGAAAGCCCUCUAUGAGAAUCCUGAGUUGAAAAAUCCUGUGAAGCACUGACUUCCUUCGAAAAAGGGAAAAGAGGAGAAAAGUAACUGCAGUGGAGAACUUGACAAGCACUCCCUCGGCCAGGCGACCAACGCAGCAUCCGCAGGGAUGAGUCAUGCUGACACUAAGUGCCCUUGAAGAGAUGGGACGGGAAUGGCAUUUUACCUCCAGGGUCUUCCUCCCACAGAUGCAGAGCACAGUCUAAUCAUAACAAAACCACCAGACAAACUCCGACGGAAGGUUGUUCUACACAAUAACCUGAUCGUACUCGUCAAAACUCAUCAAAAACAAGAAAAGUCUGGGAAAUUGUCCCAGCCAAGAGAGGUCUGAGGAAACAUGAUGGUAAGAGUUCUAGCUAAUGCAACAAGAAAAAUAAAGGAAAGGAAAUGAAAUGUAUACAGAUUGGGAAGGAAGAAAUAAAAUUGUGUUUGUUCCCAGAUGACAUGAUUGUUUAUGUAAAAAAUCCCAAAGAACCACCACCACCACCACCACCACCACCACCACCACCAACAACAACAACAACAAACUCUUGGAACUAAUAAGUGAUUAUGACAAAGUUGCAGAAUACAGGUUAUGCUUUCUUUUGAGAAAUGAAUGACUAGAAUUUAAAAUUAAAAGCUCAAUGCUGUCUAUAUUACCAGCAAAAAGUACUUAUGUAAACAUCUAACAAAAUAUGUACAAUAUUCAUAUGAAGAAAACUACCAAAAUCUCAUGAAAGAAAUCAAAGAAGAUGUAAAUAAAAUAGAUAUUCCAUGGACAUGGACAGGAAUACUCAAUAUUAUCAAGAUGUCAGUUCUUCUCUACCUGGUCUAUGGAUUUAAUGCAAUCCCAAUUAAAGUCCCAGCUAGUUAUCCUGUAGAUAUUUUAACAAAACUGAUUCUAAAGAUAAUUGGAAAAGGCAAAAAUCCAAAAAAAAAAAAAAAAGAUUCACUGGAAGAGGAAAGUUGGAGGACUACCUGUACGUGACUUUAAGAUUUAACAUAAAGUUAUAGUAAACAACACAGUGCCCUACUGGCAAAAGAACAGACAAAUGGAUCAAUGGAACAGAAUGGAGAGCCCAGAUAUAGAUCUACACAAACAUACUCAACUAACCUUUGACAAAGAAGCAAAGACCACUUAAUGGAGAAAGAGGCUUUUCAACAGACAGUUUUGGAGCAAUUGGACAUCCACAUACAAAAUAAUACGCAGACCUUACACCUUUCACAAUGAACUCAAAUGGAUCGUAGACCUAAAUGUAAAAUGCAAAACUAUAAAAUUUCCAGCAUAUAACAUAGGUGAUAAGCUAGGUGAGCUUUGGUUUGGUGAUGACAUUUUAGUUACAAUGCCAAAAGCAUAAUCCAUGAAAGAACAAACUGACAAGUUGGACGGCAUUAUAAUUAAAAACUUCCACUCUGUGAAACACACUGCUAGAAGAAUAAAAACAUGAGUCAGACUGGGAAAUAACGUUUGCAAACUUAUUGGAUAAAGGACUGGCAUCUGAAAAGAACUGUCACAACUCAACCAUAAGAAAACCAACAACCUAAUUUAAAAAUGGGGAAAAUGUCAGAACAGACACCUCACCAAACAAGAUAUGCAGCUGGCAAAUAAGCCUAUGAAGAAAUAAUCAACAUCAUGUCGUCAGAGGAUUGCAAAGUAAAAGAAUGAGAUACCACUAUACACUUAUUAGAACAGUAAAAUCCAAAAUGCUGACAACAUCAAAUAUUGGCAAGGAUGUGGAGCAACAGGAACUCUUGUUUAUUUCUGGUGGAAAUGCAAACUGGUACAGCUACUGUUGAAGACAGCUUGGCAGUUUUUUAAAAUAAUAAAAUUAAACACACUCUUACCAUAAAUCUAGCAAUUGUUCUCCUAGGUAUUUACCCAAAUGAAUUGAAAACUUAUGUCUGCAAAAACCCCGCACGUGACUGUCUAUAGCAGCUUUAAUCAUAAUUGCCAAAACUUGGAAGCAACCAAGUUGUCUGUCAAACUGUGGUACAUUCGGACAAUGAAACGUUCAGUGGUUUUUUAGAAAUGAGCUAUCAAAUCAUGAAAAGACAUACAGGAACCUUAAAUGCAUAUUGCUAAGUAAAAAAACCAAUCUGAAAGGG
rnacentral:lncRNA from 10 species